GACGAACGCUGGCGGCGUGCCUAACACAUGCAAGUCGAGCGAGGACUUCGGUCCUAGCGGCGGACGGGUGAGUAACGCGUGGGAACGUGCCCUUUGGUACGGAAUAGCCCCGGGAAACUGGGAGUAAUACCGUAUGGUGUCUUCGGACUAAAGAUUUAUCGCCAAAGGAUCGGCCCGCGUUGGAUUAGGUAGUUGGUGGGGUAAUGGCCUACCAAGCCGACGAUCCAUAGCUGGUUUGAGAGGAUGAUCAGCCACACUGGGACUGAGACACGGCCCAGACUCCUACGGGAGGCAGCAGUGGGGAAUCUUAGACAAUGGGGGCAACCCUGAUCUAGCCAUGCCGCGUGAGUGAUGAAGGCCCUAGGGUUGUAAAGCUCUUUCAGCUGGGAAGAUAAUGACGGUACCAGCAGAAGAAGCCCCGGCUAACUCCGUG
rnacentral:rRNA from 1 species